GCCAGGCGCGGUGGCUCACGCCUGUAAUCCCAGCACUUUGGGAGGCUGAGGUGGGCGGAUCACCUGAGGUCAGGAGUUCGAGACCAGCCUGACCAACAUGGUGAAACUCCACCUUUA
rnacentral:SRP_RNA from 1 species